UUGCCCUUCAAGCCCGGCUUGUGUGUUGGGCCUCCCGUCUCGUAGACGGUGGCCUGAAAGGCAGUGGCGGCGUCGCGUCCCGGUCCUUAAGCGUAUGGGGCUUUGUCACCCGCUUGGAGGCCGGCCGACCCCGUAGCCCACUGUGGAUUUCCACAUUCUUUU
rnacentral:misc_RNA from 1 species